rnacentral:rRNA from 1 species
GUGGGGAAUAUUGGACAAUGGGCGCAAGCCUGAUCCAGCCAUGCCGCGUGAGUGAUGAAGGCCUUAGGGUUGUAAAGCUCUUUCACCGGUGAAGAUAAUGACGGUAACCGGAGAAGAAGCCCCGGCUAACUUCGUGCCAGCAGCCGCGGUAAUACGAAGGGGGCUAGCGUUGUUCGGAAUUACUGGGCGUAAAGCGCACGUAGGCUGAUAUUUAAGUCAGGGGUGAAAUCCCGGUGCUCAACCCCGGAACUGCCUUUGAUACUGGGUAUCUUGAGUAUGGAAGAGGUCAGUGGAAUUGCGAGUGUAGAGGUGAAAUUCGUAGAUAUUCGCAGGAACACCAGUGGCGAAGGCGGCUGACUGGUCCAUUACUGACGCUGAGGUGCGAAAGCGUGGGGAGCAAACAGGAUUAGAAACCCCAGUAGUCC